CCAAGUCGGCAGCGCUGUUGUACCAUCUGACGUCAUUUGUUCGUAAACAGGGAGACGUCUGUUAUCAGCUCUCUAAACUGAAGAUGCAACAAUAACCAUUUGCCAACUGCAUUCAGUGUCCAGAUAUGAAUGUGUUCGGCUAUGGCUGCUGACCUCGCCAUCUCGUGAACUAUGGGUCGACAGAGAAGUGAUAGGAAGGAACAACGAGGCCUUGUUAGAACUCGGGAUCAGGCAGACCAGUUGGAAGAGCGGCAACCUUGAGAAGAUCAGGUUCAAGCGGGAUUGAAAGAUAAUGAAGUUCUUGGUUCGCCAGUUAGUGCGAUGUGUUUUUGUCCGUCUUUUUAGCUUCCCGGCACUGGGGGGUUUUUAACGCUUGUAAUCGCGAUUAUUUUUAUAGACUUUGUUCUCCUUUCUGAUAAUAAAGUGCCACAGUCCAGAAUGCUGCUAGGCUGUCUGGGA